AUGUACAAUAAUACCCUCACCAAGGCCAUAUCUUGAUAUUUAAAAUAAUAGCAUAAUAAAGGCAAUAUUACUAAAAAUGGGAAGAACUUCACAAAGAUGUAUCUAAACAAUUGAACCUUUCUGAAUAAUGAUAGAGGGUCACGCACGUGACUAAGACCUGUUGCUCGGGUAGAUACAGUCGAUUGAUAAAAGGUUGUCGUCAACCGGCUUCGCAACUACGCGACAAGCCCGAAUGUAAGCAUGGGUAAAAACCACUGAAGCGCCUAGCUGCAUACACCUAUUUCAAUUAAGUUUGACAUAAAGAAAAUGGAAAAUGUCUGACCGCAGUUAUUGGUGGGAAAGAAAGUGGGUGCUUUCUCGAUCCGCUUGCUGGUGAAAUGCCCCGAGCAUACAGUGAAGAUUUGAAGUGGCGAAUUAUUCACAUGAAGCAAUAGAAAGGUGCGACAGACGACGAGCUAGAGGAUAUAUUUGGAGUUAGUAAGUCCACGAUAGCUAGAUAUUUAAAACUCUACCGAAAUUCUGGUAAUGUUAACUGUAUGACUAUGGGAAGACCAGUCGAGUCCACCGUAAUUGCGCCUGAUGAGCAGCGAGUCAUCAUCGAAAUUUUGCUGCGUCAACCUGACCGAAGACUCCUAGAACUCCAACAAGAAGUUGGACGAGUGUCUGGAGCUGUCUACUCGAUAUCAGCCAUUCAAUACUACCUUCGGAGAAACGGAAUAACCAGGAAAAAAGCUAAAGAAACAAGCUUUGCAAAGGGACGAAAUCAGGCGCACCGACUUCAGGGAUACUGUAUGCACACUCGAUCCAAGGACCCGAUAUUCUUGGACAAAAGCAGAUUAGUAAGUGCUAAUACCGUACUACUAAAGACAUAUAUUUUUCAAAAUGUAAUAUGCAAUUUCAUGUAAACUGUGUAGUUAUUAAUUAUGACAAUCUGAUGUGAAUUCCAACCGAUGAUUUAAUGAACUUCCACGUUCUCUUGUAGGACAAACGUAUUGCUCGCAAUUAUGGCUACCGCUUCAGGGGCACAUGAGCCACUAUUAAACGCCGUCACCUCAACUGGGGGCCUAGAAUUACAGCUAUACCAAUUGUCAAUUGUGACGGAUUCCUUGACGUUGGCAUUUACUGAGGCAACAUUAACGGAUAACGAUUUCUACGAUAACGCCGCGAUUCACCACACACCCGGUGUUCUAAAUGCAAACCGAGCAACUGGUGUGCUAGUACUAUUCCUCUCUGCAUACAGUCCUGAUUACAUGCCAUGUGAAGGAAUAUUCCCCUUAGUCAAGUCAUGGAUCAAGGAAAAGGAUGCUGUUUGGCAUGCAACAGACGAAUCAGAAGAAUUUGUAUUUCAUGCAUUUAUGGAAGUGACCAACGAAGAUGUGGUAUCUUUCUGCAGGAAUGCCCAAUACAUCUAGAAGACUAUUAUCAAUCAUUGGGGAAAAACACUUUGUUCUUUUUAUUAACAGAAGAUGAAGAGAACUUGUUGUAAUGUAUGUUAUUUACAUUGUACAAUUUUCAUUGUAUUAGGGGCCGUCCACACUAACACGGAUUCGUUUGAAUCCGUAUACUUUUUGAUACGUUUAGGCCUUCCGUCCACAAUAACACGCGCGCUGAUUCCAGCGAAUCCGGAUACUUUUGAAAACGCCGUCGAAAGUGAAUCAAAAUGAAUCCGUAUACUGUGGUCCGUAAGUGUGGACGGUCAAAUCCGUAUCAAAAUGAAAACGAUAUCGUCAUAUCGCAUGCGCGCGCUGCUUUGAGCAUGCGCAUAUCAUAAAAAUGACGUCACCCUGUACCUUUCAGUGUUAGUGUGGACGGCUGGAUCCAGGCGAACACGAUGCGAAAAUGAUAGUGUGGACGCGAAUCCAGUGAUGCGUUUUCGGCGAAACGAAUCCGGAUACUUUUGAAUCCGUGUCAGUGUGGACGACCCCUUGUUUAGAGAUGCGUCCAUGCUCACAAUCAUUCAAGCUGAUUCGGUACACACACAAAACGGAAUUAAAAUUGUUUAACUGAUAUUAAAAUUGUUUAAAUAACCGCA